AUGCUUAUUUUGGCAGCACCUCUAUUAAAAUUGGAAUGAUACAAAAAAGAUUAGUAUGGCCCCUAUGCAAAGAUGAUAUGCAUACUCAAGAAACAUUCCAUUUUAAU